rnacentral:rRNA from 1 species
UACAGAGGGUGCGAGCGUUGUUCGGAAUUAUUGGGCGUAAAGGGCGCGUAGGCGGCGCCACAAGUCACUUGUGAAAACUCUGGGCUCAACUCAGAGCCUGCAAGCGAAACUGUGGUGCUGGAGUAUGGGAGAGGUGCGUGGAAUUCCCGGUGUAGCGGUGAAAUGCGUAGAUAUCAGGAGGAACACCGGUGGCGAAGGCGGAUCUCUGGGCCUUACCUGACGCUGAGGCGCGAAAGCUAGGGGAGCGAACAGG